CAAGGCAACGAAGAGAACUCACCCUUGCCACCUGAGCUAACACCAUUUUUCGACAGGUCUGUUGUCAAAGGUCCUGAUGGACUUGACAUGUUAUAUUUGAACCAGUGGCUAGCUAGUAGCGGGUCAGAUUCAGAUACAAGUAAGAAAAGCCUGAAAAUCACGACAAGUGCAGGAGGAGGAGCAGCAUCAGAUCUAGUUCGAGCAACGUUUGAGAUUACUCGUGAAGAUUUCAAAAAGUUAAGGGAAAGGGUGUUACCUAAACUAUCAGAUAGUGGGAAAGAAGUGCAUCUAUCAACUUUUGUUCUUUCGUUUGCUUAUGUAACAACUUGCAUGGUGAAAGCUAGAGGAGGAGAUGGAGAUAGAAAAGUUGCUUUCGCAUUCACAGCUGAUUGCAGGCCACGAUUA
rnacentral:lncRNA from 1 species